AAAGUCGUAACAAGGUAACCGUAGGUGAACCUGCGGUUGGAUCAUUAACAAAUUCUUAUUUUCCUGGCGUAAAAACCCAGGAAGAUAAUCCCUGUGUGCAACUAUAUCUGUCUCUGGUGAUUCUAAAACGUUUGCCCGGCUGGGACUCUUUGUGUGGGAGUGGAUUUUUUCCAAGCUCGCUCGGGGAGUUCCUGUCGGUUUAAAUUGCAAUCGGCACUCCUGUUCCGGUGGUUGGUCAAACAUCUGCUGGAGGAGGAAGGCGGGUCACCGAAAUGUUCUUUUGCAACUUUGGUUGCUUGAACAUUGUUAACAAACCUUUUGUAUUUUGAAAUUUUUGUCUGAAUCAUCUUCACUUUGUGAGAAUGAAAAAACAACUUUUGACAACGGAUCUCUUGGCUCUC
rnacentral:misc_RNA from 1 species